ACGUCAGUAGUGCAACUGGUCAGCAACGCACUGUCAGAAAGGGUGAGAUGCGGGAUCAAUUCCCGCCGUCUGACGUC